GGACUACGCGGGUAUCUAAUCCGGUUUGCUCCCCCAGCUUUCGUCCCUCACUGUCGGAGCCGUUCUGGUGAGGCGCCUUCGCCACAGGUGGUCCCCCAAGGAUUACAGGAUUUCACUCCUACCCCUGGAGUACCCCUCACCUCUCCCGGUCCCUAGUCUGCCAGUAUCCCUGAGACGCCUUCCGGUUAAGCCGGAAGAUUUCCCCAGAGACUUAACAAACCAGCUACGAACGCUUUAAGCCCAGUAAUAGUGGCCACCACUCGAGCCGCCGGUAUUACCGCGGCGGCUGGCACCGGUCUUGCCCGGCCCUUUCUUCACCAGUUAUUUAAACUGGUGGACAGCCCGAUUUUACGGGCACUCGGAGUUCCCCUGUCACGGUUUCCCGCAUUGCAAAGUUUUCGCGCCUGCUGCCCCCCGUAGG
rnacentral:rRNA from 1 species